CGAUUGACCUCUUUACUGCAUCUAUCAGUUGAUAGAAAAUUUCAAAAUACCAUGGAAAUUAUUGCAUCAUAAUACCAGGCAGUGAUUGUGAGUGUACCCAUGAGUUUACCAGUCAAAUUGCCAGGGUUAGUGCGUCCAAGCCCGUUCUAUUCAUUCUAUUUCUAUGGAACUAACUCCAUAUCAAGAAACAGAAAUGCCUGUACACACAAUGUCGCCCAGAUCACAGAAGGAGCAUGGUCAGCCGGCCACUGAGAGGUGUCAUCAAAGUAGAGCAAUAUAUUCUGACAGCACCGCGACUAGAGAGGAGAGAGAGAAUGGAGGAGGGGAGGCCACUAACAGCAACCAGAGGAACACAGAAAGGAGGACAGAAAGGAGGACAAAAAAGAGGAGAAGAUAGG